rnacentral:snRNA from 11 species
AUACUUAACCAGCAGGGGAGAUACCACAAGUAAGAAAGUGAUUUCCCAGGGCAAAUGAAGGAAACUCUACUGCAUAAUUUGUGACAGGUGGUGGACUGUGUACGUGUUUUCCCCUG